AACACCUCCAAGUCGAGCGGUAGAGAGAAGCUUUGCUUCUCUUGAGAGCGGCGGACGGGUGAGUAAUGCCUAGGAAUUCUGCCUGGUAGUGGGGGAUAACGCUCGGAAACGGACGCUAAUACCGCAUACGUCCUACGGGAGAAAGCAGGGGACCUUCCGGGCCUUGCGCUAUCAGAUGAAGCCUAGGUCGGAUUAGCCAGUUGGUGAGGUAAUGGCUCACCAAGGCGACGAUCCGUAACUGGUCUGAGAGGAUGAUCAGUCACACUGGAACUUGAGACACGGUCCAGACUCCUACGGGAGGCAGCAGUGGGGAAUAUUGGACAAUGGGCGAAAGCCUGAUCCAGCCAUGCCGCGUGUGUGAAGAAGGUCUUCGGAUUGUAAAGCACUUUAAGUUGGGAGGAAGGGCAUUAACCUAAUACGUUGGUGUCUUGACGUUACCGACAGAAUAAGCACCGGCUAACUCUGUGCCAGCAGCCGCGGUAAUACGAAGGGGGCUAGCGUUGCUCGGAAUCACUGGGCGUAAAGGGUGCGUAGGCGGGUCUUUAAGUCAGAGGUGAAAUCCUGGAGCUCAACUCCAGAACUGCCUUUGAUACUGAGGAUCUUGAGUUCGGGAGAGGUGAGUGGAACUGCCGAGUGUAGAGGUGAAAUUCGUAGAUAUUCGCAAGAACACCAGUGGCGAAGGCGGCUCACUGGCCCGAUACUGACGCCUGAGGCACAAAAGCGUGGGGAGCAAACAGGAUUAGAUACCCUGGUAGUCCACGCCGUAAACGAUGUCAACUAGCCGUUGGGAGCCUUGAGCUCUUAGUGGCGCAGCUAACGCAUUAUAACGGCCUGGGGAGUACGCCCCAGGUUAAAUCAAUAUACGAAGG
rnacentral:rRNA from 1 species